UACAGAGGGGGCAAGCGUUGUUCGGAAUUACUGGCGUAAAGGGCGCGUAGGCGGCCUGCUAAGUCGAACGUGAAAUCCCCGAGCUCAACUCGGGAACUGCGUCCGAUACUGACAGGCUUGAAUCCGGGAGAGGGAUGCGGAAUUCCAGGUGUAGCGGUGAAAUGCGUAGAUAUCUGGAGGAACACCGGUGGCGAAGGCGGCAUCCUGGACCGGCAUUGACACUGAGGAGCGAAAGCCAGGGGAGCAAACGGG
rnacentral:rRNA from 1 species